AUUGAACGCUGGCGGGAUGCUUUACACAUGCAAGUCGAACGGCAGCACGGACUUCGGUCUGGUGGUGAGUGGCGAACGGGUGAGUAAUACAACGGAACGUGCCCAAUCGUGGGGGAUAACGUAGCGAAAGCUACGCUAAUACCGCAUACGAUCUAAGGAUGAAAGCGGGGGAUCGCAAGACCUCGCGCGAUUGGAGCGGCCGAUGGCAGAUUAGGUAGUUGGUAGGGUAAAGGCCUACCAAGCCGACGAUCUGUAGCUGGUCUGAGAGGAUGAUCAGCCACACUGGGACUGAGACACGGCCCAGACUCCUACGGGAGGCAGCAGUGGGGAAUUUUGGACAAUGGACGCAAGUCUGAUCCAGCCAUUCCGCGUGCAGGAUGAAGGCCCUCGGGUUGUAAACUGCUUUUGUACAGAACGAAAAGGCUCUGGUUAAUACCUAGGGCUCAUGACGGUACUGUAAGAAUAGGCACCGGCUAACUACGUGCCAGCAGCCGCCGUAA
rnacentral:rRNA from 1 species